rnacentral:rRNA from 1 species
AGUAACGGCGAGUGAAGCGGCAAAAGCUCAAAUUUGAAAUCUGGCACCUUCGGUGUCCGAGUUGUAAUUUGAAGAAGGUAACUUUGGAAUUGGCUCUUGUCUAUGUUCCUUGGAACAGGACGUCACAGAGGGUGAGAAUCCCGUGCGAUGAGAUGCCCAAUUCUAUGUAAAGUGCUUUCGAAGAGUCGAGUUGUUUGGGAAUGCAGCUCUAAGUGGGUGGUAAAUUCCAUCUAAAGCUAAAUAUUGGCGAGAGACCGAUAGCGAACAAGUACAGUGAUGGAAAGAUGAAAAGAACUUUGAAAAGAGAGUGAAAAAGUACGUGAAAUUGUUGAAAGGGAAGGGCUUGAGAUCAGACUUGGUAUUUUGCGAUCCUUUCCUUCUUGGUUGGGUUCCUCGCAGCUUACUGGGCCAGCAUCGGUUUGGAUGGUAGGAUAAUGACUAAGGAAUGUGGCUCUGUUUCGGUGGAGUGUUAUAGCCUUGGUUGAUACUGCCUGUCUAGACCGAGGACUGCGUCUUUGACUAGGAUGCUGGCAUAAUGAUCUUAAGCCACCCGU